rnacentral:rRNA from 1 species
GACGAACGCUGGCGGCGUGCUUAACACAUGCAAGUCGAACGGUAAGGCCCUUCGGGGUACACGAGUGGCGAACGGGUGAGUAACACGUGGGUGAUCUGCCCUGCACUUCGGGAUAAGCCUGGGAAACUGGGUCUAAUACCGAAUGAGGUGGCGACUCAUGAGAGUCGUCACGAAAGGAAGCUUCGGCCUCCGCGAAGGGAUGAGCCCGCGGCCCAUUAGCUUGUUGGUGGGGUAAUGGCCUACCAAGGCAACGAUGGGUAGCUGGUCUGAGAGGACGAUCAGCCACACUGGGACUGGGACACGGCCCAGACUCCUACGGGAGGCUGCAGUGGGGAAUCUUGCGCAAUGAGCGACAGCUUGACGCAGCAACGCCGCGUGAGGGAAGAAGGCUUUCGGGUCGUAAACCUCUUUCAGUUAGGACGAAGCUUUAUUGGUUAAUAACCAAUUGGAGUGACGGUACUUUCAGAAGAAGCCCCGGCUAAC